CGGACGGGUGAGUAACACGUGGAUAACCUACCUAUAAGACUGGGAUAACUUCGGGAAACCGGAGCUAAUACCGGAUAAUAUAUUGAACCGCAUGGUUCAAUAGUGAAAGACGGUUUUGCUGUCACUUAUAGAUGGAUCCGCGCCGCAUUAGCUAGUUGGUAAGGUAACGGCUUACCAAGGCGACGAUGCGUAGCCGACCUGAGAGGGUGAUCGGCCACACUGGAACUGAGACACGGUCCAG
rnacentral:rRNA from 1 species